rnacentral:lncRNA from 1 species
CACCUUCCUUCCCAUCAUCACCAGCAUUGGCCUUCCCCCUCCAAUCUCCCUUAGGUGCUUUUCUUCUUACAGAUCUCCAAAAAAGAGCGAUGUCAACCUCCUCUCCACUCUUCUCAUUGUCAUCUCUCGUUGGUCUCCACCAUCGCCUUCGUCUCAUCAUCAUCGACAUCAGCCUUCCCCUCUGAUCUCCCUCAGGUGCUUUCCUUCCCACA